rnacentral:rRNA from 1 species
UACGUAGGGACCAAGCGUUGUUCGGAUUUACUGGGCUUAAAGGCGCGUAGGCGGGCUGCCAAGUCUGGGGUGAAAUCCCACGGCUCAACCGUGGAACUGCCUCGGAUACUGGCGGCCUCGAGGGAGGUAGGGGCGUGCGGAACUGUGGGUGGAGCGGUGAAAUGCGUUGAUAUCCACAGGAACUCCGGUGGCGAAGGCGGCACGCUGGACUUUUUCUGACGCUGAGGCGCGAAAGCCAGGGGAGCAAACGGG